rnacentral:rRNA from 1 species
CCUACGGGAGGCAGCAGUAGGGAAUAUUCGGCAAUGGACGAAAGUCUGACCGAGCAACGCCGCGUGAGUGAAGAAGGUUUUCGGAUCGUAAAACUCUGUUGGUAGAGAAGAAGGUUGGUGAGAGUGGAAAGCGCAUCAAGUGACGGUAACUACCCAGAAAGGGACGGCUAACUACGUGGAAGCAGCCGCGGUAAUACGUAGGUCCGUAGCGUUGGCAGGAUUUAUUGGGCGGAAAGCGAGCGCAGGUGGUGUAUUAAGUCUGUUGUAAAAGGCAGUGGCUCAACCAUUGUAUGCAUUGGAAACUGGUAGACUUGAGUGCAGGAGAGGAGAGUGGAAUUCCAUGUGUAGCGGUGAAAUGCGUAGAUAUAUGGAGGAACACCGGUGGCGAAAGCGGCUCUCUGGCCUGUAACUGACACUGAGGCUCGAAAGCGUGGGGAGCAAACAGGAUUAGAUACCCUUGUAGUC